rnacentral:misc_RNA from 1 species
UUUCCGUAGGUGAACCUGCGGAAGGAUCAGUAGAGAACCGCCGGCGCAAGCCGGUUCUACCCCACACACACCUGUGAACCGUUUAUUAGGACGUGGAUUACCCUCGGGGAAACCGUCCGACCUUACAAAACAUCUUAUAACGUCGUGAAUGUAGUCUUAUUUUAACAAAUAAAACUUUCAACAACGGAUCUCUUGGCUCCCGCAUCGAUGAAGAACGCAGC